AGAAUCAGGGUUUUCUUUCAUAAUGAGUAAUAACUUUGGACCUGUUCACCUAAUGGAGUGACACUCCCAUGAGUGACAGCUGAUUGUAGGUGCUGCCAUCUUUGGUCUCUAGGCUCACACCUCCCACCUCACAGACUGUCAGAGACUCUUCUCUCUCAGAUCAUUCAGCUCUGAACACAACAAUGAUCACAGCUGUUCUGAUCAAGCUCUCUGCAGCUCUGCUCUGCAUCACAGGUGUAAUCGACGGGAGUGAUGUGAAACAGGCCGCUGUGCUGUGGGGGGACGAGGGUCAGUCUGCCACAAUGACCUGUGAGCACACUAAAGGUGCUACUUAUUUCCAGAUGUACUGGUACAGACAGCUGCCAGGAGAGACAAUGCAACAAAUCGUUUUGACGAGACCAUCUGCCCUCCUCAGUACUGGUCUGACUUCAGUGAGGACAAGUUUCCUGCAAAGAAGGACAACUUCUCGACUGGAUCUUUGACUGUGGAGAAGCUGCUGCCUGCAGACAGUGGAGUGUAUUUUUGUGCUGUGAGUCAACACAGUGAAGCAGGUGACUCUGACAGCUGUACAAAUACCCCACUGAUGAAUACAUGUAUUAAAGACAUCAGUGUUUGAUUAUCUAUAGGGGGAGCUCUGGGUGCACAAUAGUUCUUUCACAGCCAUCAGUGUCCCAGAAAAUGUGCAAUGACAGAGUAUCGAUCAUAUUAUGAAUUUAUGUCCUUGAAAUGUGAAGAAUCCAAUUCAGAGCUCAAGUCAUUUCAUAUUAAGUUUCCAAUCAUGUUUCAAUUUGUUUUAAAUUAAAUCUUCUUGAGUUUGCCUAAGCAGCCCUUUAAAAUCAAAGUUUCCGAGGCGCUGGGUAGCCGAGCAGUUAUGUCGCCCACCCGUGUACGGCGGCUGUAGUCCUUAUCGUAGCGGCCGAGUGCUCGAAGCUGACCGAGGAAAGCCUCGGGUUACGUAACAUUUUAUUGUGAAUGUGUUGGUGGUGGUGAAUGUUCAGUGGUUAAAUAACUUUGUAUAGCCUCACACAUGUGACUGCUCACUAGUGGUGUAAUGAUGAUCUAUUUAAAUUGACACAUGUAUUCUAUAUUAACUGUGAUUUCAGAUCUCACAGUAGAUCACCGCAUCCUGAAAAUAAACUUAAAAAGAUAAAAAUCUCUUUUUAACACAUUUAAAACAAAUAUUUAAUAAAUAUCAGGCAAAGUGAC